rnacentral:rRNA from 1 species
GACGAACGCUGGCGGCGUGCUUAACACAUGCAAGUCGAACGGAAAGGCCCUGCUUUUGUGGGGUGCUCGAGUGGCGAACGGGUGAGUAACACGUGAGUAACCUGCCCUUGACUUUGGGAUAACUUCAGGAAACUGGGGCUAAUACCGGAUAGGAGCUCCUGCUGCAUGGUGGGGGUUGGAAAGUUUCGGCGGUUGGGGACGGACUCGCGGCUUAUCAGCUUGUUGGUGGGGUAGUGGCUUACCAAGGCUUUGACGGGUAGCCGGCCUGAGAGGGUGACCGGCCACAUUGGGACUGAGAUACGGCCCAGACUCCUACGGGAGGCAGCAGUGGGGAAUAUUGCACAAUGGCCGGAAGCCUGAUGCAGCAACGCCGCGUGCGGGAUGACGGCCUUCGGGUUGUAAACCGCUUUCGCCUGUGACGAAGCGUGAGUGACGGUAAUGGGUAAAGAAGCACCGGCUAACUACGUG